GGUUAGAUUUCAAUAAUUUCUACAUGCAUUUGAUUUCCGGAAAGCGUUGUGAUACUUGAAAUUAAAUUGUUUACAAAAUUAUGACACUUUUUGUGAAAUAUUGGCAAUGUUUAUCAACUUCGAAUUAUCGCUGAACAACAUUUGUUGUUUACAUCGGAGAGAGCCGAGUGCGUCACAUGAUUUCAGUAUCCUCGCUUUCACCCGACGAAAAUGGAAUCGAGGUAAGUGUAAACAUUUUGUCACGUGGAUGUAGAACGUGAUUACUUUGCAAUCGGAUGGUUUAUACGGUCUCGAGGAGUACCGAUCGUUAUUCACUAUUGUUGAUUGAGAGCUCAAACAGAUAAAAUCAACCUCAAUAUCAUCUUGAUUGGCAAGUCAGCAGAGCAUGCAGUCUAAUUAUAUAUGGGUAGAGGUCAAGGUGACAGGAGUAAAGAAAAUAUAGAAAUCGUGAAAAUUUAAGCAUUUUAUUGGUAAUCACUUUGUCUGUUUGCCCAUACACAUAAGCUGAAUUAUCUUAUUUCAAGUUAGUUGUUUUGACACCUGUGCAGUGAAAAGGUUUGAUAUAAAAUCAAAAUAAAUUACAUUACAUCAUUGAAUUCAUGGAAACCUUUUGUUUUAUGUACCAUAUUUCAUAUGCAGCAGUUUUCACUGAUACUGGCUUAUGUAAAACAAGAGGCCAAUUGGCCUUAAUGGUCACCUGAGUUUUGAAAUAUUCAAUUUAAUUGACCCUUUUUAGCCUCGCCCAGAAGGUCAGUCAGGGCCAACAUGUGCAUGCGAUCAAGCUGUCAUCCCAUGCUGAUAAUGUUAAUGAAGUUAGAAUGAAUUUCAAUAGAAAUCAAACAAAUGCUGAUCAAAAUUGUGAUUUCCCUAUAUAAAUUUAGUCCCCCAUCAGGGUCAUGAAAUUCACAAUUUUUGUUAAAGACACCAGUAUAUGAUUCUACCAUAUCUGCGAGCUGAGAAGAUCUUUCAAAUUUUAGUCAAUUUGACCCUUUUUGACCCUGCCCCUCAGGUCCCUGGAGGUUGGGACUAUGUAAUCCACAGUUUUGGUUGACCUUUUGACCAUGAAAGCUUACUGACAAAUUGUUUAAAGACAAGCAAGGAAAGACGACGGACAAAAGUCAGUUAGAAUAGGUCACUUCAUACUUCAUCUCAGUUGACCUAAAGAUCCAACCCUAAUUUAUCAGAAUAUCAACAGAACAGUGACUUAUGAUGUUGAUAAUACACUAAACAGUAAAUGCACAGUACAAUUUGUCUCACAAAUAGUUUUGAUAUAGAAAACACUGAGAAAAGUCAAACAUGCAAAUAAAGAAUUUACCACAUUGUAUUUAUUGUCUUGCUCAGAUGUAAGCAUUGGCAUCAAUGACUAGAGAAAGUUGACUGCCAUGACUAGUGACUUAACAUCAAUGACAAUUGUUGGCAUCAGUGAUAAUUGAGUGUUGACAUCAAUGACUAUUGAGUAUUAUGGAGUGUUGACAUACAUGACUGGAGUAUUAUGGAGUGUUGACAUACGUUACUAAUGAGUACUAGUGAGUGUUGUCAUCCAUGACUAUUGAGUAUUAGUGAGUGUUGACAUAAAUGACUAUUGAGUACUACUACUAGUGAGUGUUGUCAUCCAUGACCAUUGAGUACUAGUGUGUGUUGACAUUAAAGACUAUUGAGCACUAGUGGGUGUUGACAUCAAUGAAUUUUGAGAGUUUAUAAAUUACUUGUGAGUGUUAACAUGAAUAUUUCAAUAGUGCACACAUGUACAGCUAUGAAUAAUCAUUUUUGACUAAGCAUUUAAUUUCAGACCAGACAAUGUUGUUUGUCUCUUGAGAUUAUAUAAAUUUUGAAAUUAAGGCUGCACUGAUUAUCAUAUGACAUUAAUGGAAUGGAUAACAGCUAAGCUAUUAUAGUAACAUUAUACCAAUAAACUAAAUACUACUCAAAUUUAAGUUACAUUUCAAACAUUUUUCUACUUUUGAACUACCUCUCCCAACAAUGGUUCAAACUACAAGUGGACUAGAUGUAAUUCUUGA